UCACACCACCUGUGAGGCAGCCCUAGGCCUGGAAAUAGCUGCCAGACCAGUUCUGGAAGCCAGUUUUAAUUUGUGUCACAAGUGCAGAGAUGAGCGGCAGCCUGCCAGGUCUGCACCAAGAACCCUGGAGGAGGGUCUCCCCAGAGAAUCCACACAGAGCCCUUUUAUGAGGUUCAGGCCUCAACACCUGAUUGGAAGCAACUGCUCCUCCCACCCGACAGGUGAGUAAGCUGCUUGGGGCUCGGGGAUGGCCCAGCUCAGACUCAGGCCCUGCCCACGGGUCUCACGUCUUGCCACACGGUAUCCAACACCUGUAUCAGUUAAAACAUCUCACUUUCAAUCAAUAGAAAUGUUCUUCUUAAAUGUAUUUAUGGAUUUAUUUAUUGCAGUACUGGGAAUUAAACAGAAUGGGCCUUAGAGGAAUUGAAACACAUCAGUUGAGAUGAUUGGCUUAUUUCCUUGAUAGAUCUCACAUCAGACAACUGGGCCUGAAUUGCCGCAGGUUCUGAAAUGGGUCCAGUCCGGUGCAAAGAGAUCAGCCUCACACAAAUAACCCAGUGUGAGACCCAGAGUGCUGUCUGGGACGUUGCCAGCAGGACCUUGCUGGGCUCUAACAGGUAUUUCCUCCUAGAACCUUUUCGCCAGCCAACCCCAUGUGUCCCUGGCUCCUCACCAAAGGAAAAGGAGAAAUGCUUCCUUCCUUCUUCCUCCUGGGGCUUCUUCCCCCUGCCUGGGGCAGACCCACUGCCACUGCACCGGGGCAGAAGCUCCCGCAAGGAUGUCACUGUGCCUGGGAUCUGAGUCGCCAGCCAAUUACAAGGAUGUACUUGCUAUGACUGAGAACCGGCAGGUUGGCAGGAGGGCAGCUCGGCAGGCUGGCAGAGCAGGUUUCUGGCCGGGGACCCAGCCCCAAACCAAGUUUACAAAACAGCUGCUCCGCUGGGGCCCUGUGAUGAGCAAGCCCGUCAGGGUGGACUCCAGGUGGUGCUGAGCUGCGGUCAUCAGAAGGAAUGCCCCAAACAUUAACAAGGCCAGGAAGGCCAGAGAUCUGGUGAGCCCUGGUGACCUCGCAGCCUGUCAUCGGCCCGGCCCAGAAAUGGGCCCCUGUCUUCACUGGCUGCUCAGCCUCGUACCCAUGGGAGAAGAGCCGGCAGCACAACCACACAGCCCUGCUGCACGCCUGGGCAGCCUGCUUGGUCCUGGGAGUAAACCACCAGAUCCCAGAGAAAACCUAAGUUGACAAAGCACAGAUCCAGUCAGAGGCACCCGAAUGACAGUCACAGAAAACGCGCUCUCGCCCGAACUGCCUUUUUACUAACAUGUUGAUUGACACACACGCUUGUCCACCUUUGGAAAGUGGGUGAUGCUUUGAUCUCAUGCACAUGGAGCCACAGUAAGGCAGGGUGAUGGGCGUGCUGUCGCCUCGUGCUGAUGCUCUACGGCAGGACAACGUAGGAAUGUCCUGCUGUUGCUCUAUCUCAUGCCAGCGCAGGAACGGCCUCGCCACGUCAGAGCGCUUUCACAGCCGUCACCCAUUCACUUCUCACGGCAUCCCUGAUGGGGGCUGCAUGGCCAGCGCACCCUCAAGGGAGGACACUGAGUCUGGCAGCGAGGCCCCUAUGUGGGGAUCGGCCUGCCAGCCCUGCUCUGCCAGGCUCCCCUUUGUCACCUGCCCCUCCCAGGCAGCCUUCAGGCCCGGCCAGAGGCGUUGAUUGCUACUGCUAGAAGAGGACAUGGCGAUCUACACUUUCAGCAGGCUUCGAGGCACUUGUUACAAUGGACUCGCUGAAGAGCAGAAGCGCUGUGACUAAGGAUUCAGCUGGGACAGCAGCAUGCUGGGGCUGAUGUCCACAGGUGGAGCUGGAAGGUCACCCUGCUGCAGAACACACUUGCAGGAGACCUUCUUCUGGAGGGAUGGCACUGGCCAGUGGGUGAGAACUCGACUCCUGCCUGCACAUCACCGGGGGCUCACAGUCGCCUGCAGAGAGACUCCAAGACUGGAGCCAGGACCAUCCCCCACUCCCUGCCUGGGAUUACUUCCUGGACAGGAACCGAAUGACUGGUGCUCUGCAGCUCUUUUGGAACAUGAAGUAGCCUUGGCAACGGAAGUCAAGCAUGGCAAAACACGGCUGAAAAGGAGCCUAGUCCCUGAUGCAGGGGUGUGUCACCGUGGAUGGGGUGCUUCCGGGCUUCCUGACUGUGAGAGGCCAUCUUCUGAUCUUUUUAUGCUGCGUUCAGUUGUAGUCACAGGUGAUUCUAAUAAACACAUCUCGCCUUUU